UACGGAGGGUGCGAGCGUUGUCCGGAUUCACUGGGCGUAAAGCGCAUGUAGGCGGUUGCACAAGUCCGUUGUUAAAGCCCCUGGCUCAACUGGGGGAGGUCAAUGGAGACUGUGCGACUUGAGGGCAAUAGAGGCACGUGGAACUCCCGGUGUAGCGGUGGAAUGCGUAGAGAUCGGGAAGAACACCAGUGGCGAAGGCGACGUGCUGGGUUGCACCUGACGCUGAGAUGCGAAAGUGUGGGGAGCAAACGGG
rnacentral:rRNA from 1 species